CUACCAUGCAGUCGAGGGGUAUAGUUCUUCGGAAUUAGAGACCGGCGCACGGGUGCGUAACGCGUAUGCAAUCUACCUUUCACAGAGGGAUAGCCCAGAGAAAUUUGGAUUAAUACCUCAUAGUAUAGCAGUUUCGCAUGAAACCACUAUUAAAGAUUUAUCGGUGAAAGAUGAGCAUGCGUCCCAUUAGUUAGUUGGUAAGGUAACGGCUUACCAAGACAACGAUGGGUAGGGGUCCUGAGAGGGAGAUCCCCCACACUGGUACUGAGACACGGACCAGACUCCUACGGGAGGCAGCAGUGAGGAAUAUUGGACAAUGGGCGCAAGCCUGAUCCAGCCAUGCCGCGUGCAGGAUGACGGUCCUAUGGAUUGUAAACUGCUUUUAUACAGGAAGAAAUAGUUCUACGUGUAGAACCUUGACGGUACUGUAAGAAUAAGGAUCGGCUAACUCCGUGCCAGCAGCCGCGGUAAUACGGAGGAUCCAAGCGUUAUCCGGAAUCAUUGGGUUUAAAGGGUCCGUAGGCGGUCAGAUAAGUCAGUGGUGAAAGCCCAUCGCUCAACGGUGGAACGGCCAUUGAUACUGUCUGACUUGAAUUAUUAGGAAGUAACUAGAAUAUGUAGUGUAGCGGUGAAAUGCUUAGAGAUUACAUGGAAUACCAAUUGCGAAGGCAGGUUACUACUAAUAUAUUGACGCUGAUGGACGAAAGCGUGGGUAGCGAACAGGAUUAGAUACCCUGGUAGUCCACGCCGUAAACGAUGGAUACUAGCUGUUGGGCGCAAGUUCAGUGGCUAAGCGAAAGUGAUAAGUAUCCCACCUGGGGAGUACGUUCGCAGAAUGACAGG
rnacentral:rRNA from 1 species